GAUUAAAAUGAAUAAAGGAUGAUAAUUGGAAAUCAAUCCAAUUAAUUUAUAAUUAUCUUUAUAAUACCAUUUUUCUACUUUAAACCGAACAACUCGGACACCCUAAAUAUGGGAUCUGUUUGGGAUGGUUCGACAUGUCGAAUGCUGAUCAAACGGAAGAGAAGCACUGAAACAUCGAGAAUCGGUCAGAUACUCAAAUGGGAAUAACAAGGGAGAAGAAUAGCUCUCAUUCGUCAACAUCGCCUUGUUCGCAUCUCAGAGCUGCUUACCACAAUUGCUUCAACAGCAAGGGUUUUGCUGAACAAAAUCUUGGCUACAGGUGGUAUUCAGAGAAGUUCGUCAAGGGGCACUGGGAGAAAGAGGAAUGUAUUUCGGAGUGGCAAAAAUACAGAGCUUGCCUUUCUGAACAUUUGGAUGACAAACAUCUGAGUCGAUUCUUGGAAGCAGAGACUGUUGUCGAUGCGGCCAUUAAAGAUGAUUCUGGAAGCCCAGUUGAUGGUGCAGCUACUGGUGUACCAGAGUGAUCCAAGCUGUUACUUUUAUUGCUCCCAGGAUAUAAAAAAACAAAGGUGAAGGUCUUUUAUAAACUUGAAGUCUGUGAAGCUGAGUGAAGUGAGUGAAGCUGCUGAUUUCUAUGUAAAACUUUAUGAUUCAAAGAUUGAUCAGAUCAGGGAGGGUUGGAUGCAGUGGUUUCAUGAUAAUAAGUCCAGAUUCUCUGUGAAAUCCCAUUACAAGGUGUUAAAUAGUCAUGGUAAUAUAAGAUACCCCUGGAAAUGCAUUUGGAAAGCUAGAGUGCCCAGUAAAGUUGCAUUUUUUUGCUGGUUGGUGUUGCUGGAGAAAGUUUGAACUACUGAUAAUUUGAGGAAAAGGAGUUUAUAUGUGAUGGAUUGGUGCUUCAUGUGUAAAAAAAUGGCGAAUCUGUUAACCACCUAUUUCUUCAUUGUGAAAUGGUGACUGCCUUGUGGAAUGAGUUAUUUGCAAGGUGCAUUUCUUGGCUAGCUGGCAAGGUGCAGCGGGAUGUGGAGGCAGUACAGCUGAAUGGAGGAUUAUUCCUAUGUGUUUGUUUUGGUGUUUAUGGCUUGAGAGAAAUGGGAGGCGUUUUGAAGAUUGUGUACGCGCAAUGGGGGAAUUUAGGGAUUUUUUCUUUAGCACUUUUAAUUUUUGGGUGAACAAUCUAGUGAGGGAUAUGAAUAUUUGAAAUGCCUUAUUUUAGUUCUUUUUUGCUUUAGCUUGUAUUUAGGUGUAUUCUCUUGUAUACUUCCUGUGUAAUUGGGCUAUGCCUAUUUACUUGGAAUAAAAUCUCUUAUUACCUAUUCAAAAAAAAAAAACUUGAAGUCCUUGUCUGAUCCCUUCCACCAGUAGAAGUGCAUGACUGACCAUAUGUAUUAGUUGGCAGUUAGAGCUUCAUUUCUGUGUCACGUCCGGUGACUUUUAUCAUUUGUAAUCUUCUAUGGCCUGAUUGGAGCUCUCUGUCUGCAUUCCAUUGUGACAAGUCCUAAAGUUGUCUUGCAAAGUUUGUGCAUAAAAAGUCAUUGGGCCAUGAUCAUGAUUUGCCUUGUCCCCUUUGAGUGAAGUGUGAACACCUUGUUUCCAUUCUUAUUUCUAGAAGCAUUACCAUACUUGAGCAAUUUUUUCGGAUUAUAAUUCAAGAAUUCAGCAUAAAUUCACAAUACAAUGAUGGUCAAUUAGUAAUCAAAGUGAUGCCAUUUCU